rnacentral:rRNA from 1 species
CGGAGGUGCAAGCGUUAAUCGGAAUUACUGGGCGUAAAGCGCACGCAGGCGGUCUGUUAAGUCAGAUGUGAAUCCCGGGCUUAACCUGGGAACUGCAUUUGAACUGGCAGGCUUGAGUCUGUAGAGGGUAGAAUUCCAGGUGUAGCGGUGAAAUGCGUAGAGAUCUGGAGGAAUACCGGUGGCGAAGGCGGCCCCUGGACAAAGCUGACGCUCAGGUGCGAAAGCGUGGGAGCAAACAGGAUU